GACGAACGCUGGCGGCGUGCUUAACACAUGCAAGUCGAACGGAAAGGCCCUGCUUUUGUGGGGUGCUCGAGUGGCGAACGGGUGAGUAACACGUGAGUAACCUGCCCUUGACUUUGGGAUAACUUCAGGAAACUGGGGCUAAUACCGGAUAGGAGCUCCUGCUGCAUGGUGGGGGUUGGAAAGUUUCGGCGGUUGGGGAUGGACUCGCGGCUUAUCAGCUUGUUGGUGGGGUAGUGGCUUACCAAGGCUUUGACGGGUAGCCGGCCUGAGAGGGUGACCGGCCACAUUGGGACUGAGGUACGGCCCAGACUCCUACGGGAGGCAGCAGUGGGGAAUAGUGCAAAAUGGGCGGAAGCCUGAUGCAGCAACGCCGCGUGCGGGAUGACGGCCUUCGGGUUGUAAACCGCUUUCGCCUGUGACGAAGCGUGAGUGACGGUAAUGGGUAAAGAAGCACCGGCUAACUACGUG
rnacentral:rRNA from 1 species